UACGUAGGGUGCGAGCGUUGUCCGGAAUUAUUGGGCGUAAAGGGCUCGUAGGCGGUUUGUCGCGUCGGGAGUGAAAACACCGGGCUUAACUCGGUGCUUGCUUUCGAUACGGGCAGACUAGAGGCAUGCAGGGGAGAACGGAAUUCCUGGUGUAGCGGUGAAAUGCGUAGAUAUCUGGAGGAACACCGGUGGCGAAGGCGGCAUCCUGGACCGGUAUUGACGCUGAGGCGCGAAAGCUAGGGGAGCAAACGGG
rnacentral:rRNA from 1 species